UACGGAGGAUCCAAGCGUUAUCCGGAUUUAUUGGGUUUAAAGGGUGCGUAGGCGGCCUGUUAAGUCAGGGGUGAAAGACGGUAGCUCAACUAUCGCAGUGCCCUUGAUACUGAUGGGCUUGAAUGGACUAGAGGUAGGCGGAAUGUGACAAGUAGCGGUGAAAUGCAUAGAUAUGUCACAGAACACCGACUGCGAAGGCAGCUUACUAUGGUCUUAUUGACGCUGAGGCACGAAAGCGUGGGGAUCAAACAGG
rnacentral:rRNA from 1 species